GGAAACUGAGGAAAAACCGCGAUAGGCCAAGAUUUCUGGAAUGGAUCAUGGCUGAAACCUAUAUGGCCCCUGGAUUGGACUGCGGCCGAUCAGGCUGUUGGUGAGGUAAUGGCCCACCAAACCUGUAACCGGUACGGGCUUUGAGAGGAGGAGCCCGGAGAUGGGCACUGAGACAAGGGCCCAGGCCCUAUGGGGCGCAGCAGGCGCGAAAACUCUGCAAUAGGCGAAAGCCUGACAGGGUUACUCUGAGUGAUGCCCGCUAAGGGUAUCUUUUGGCACCUCUAAAAAUGGUGCAGAAUAAGGGGUGGGCAAGUCUGGUGUCAGCCGCCGCGGUAAUACCAGCACCCCGAGUGGUCGGGACGAUUAUUGGGCCUAAAGCAUCCGUAGCCUGUCCUGCAAGUCUUCCGUUAAAUCCACCUGCUUAACAGAUGGGCCGCGGAGGAUACUACAGGGCUAGGAGGCGGGAGAGGCAAACGGUACUCAGUGGGUAGGGGUAAAAUCCACUGAUCCACUGAAGACCACCAGUGGCGAAGGCGGUUUGCCAGAACGCGCUCGACGGUGAGGGAUGAAAGCUGGGGGAGCAAACCGGAUUAGAUACCCGGGUAGUCCCAGCUGUAAACGAUGCAGACUCGGUGAUGGGUUGGCUUCGCGCCAACCCAGUGCCGCAGGGAAGCCGUUAAGUCUGCCGCCUGGGGAGUACGGUCGCAAGACUGAAACUUAAAGGAAUUGGCGGGAAACUUAAAGGAAUUGG
rnacentral:rRNA from 1 species